rnacentral:lncRNA from 1 species
UUGAAAAAGCAUGUGUGCGCUUUGUACAAUUCCAAGAAACUUUGGGCUGAACCAAGACGCAUAUGCCACCCAAGUUUACCAAUAUCAAAGAUUGGUAGAUGUUGGAUCGGCGGAUGUACAACUGCGUUAUUUUCAAAGCACCAGUACAAUACCAAGAUAAAUAUUGAGUGAAUUUGGCCUACCAAAACAUGUUAUAUUGCCAACUAUUUUGGCCUGGCAAACUUAUACAGACUGAAUACAUGAAUAAAUUCUAUAGACACUGUGAUUAUUCUGUACCAAAUACCUUGACCUGGGGUAGACCAGACAGACAAGCGGCAAACUGAAUGGCACGAUUCAUUCGGAAGAUUCACCGCAAAAGGAAGAUAAGGUAAUCCAACACAUGGUGAAUAAAAUUCCAACAUGGCAGUGACCUAAACCAUGACAGCAACAAGGGUCCAGAAAGAUGGAAUGACCAUCAUCUAUAUUUAUUGGACUUCUCAUCAUCCCACAGCCUGUGCAGAUCCCAUUUACGGCUCUGCCAUGUGGGAGUUAAAUAUGAGUUGGUCUUCCUCCAUCCCUCGGCAAACCCGCAUGAGGGAGAAAGGUAACUAGCUUCAAGGUGCAAGUCAGAAAACCAAGCAAGUUUGCGCUGCUUGAACAGGAUGAGCUUGCUUGAAUUCAAAUAACAGAUCGGCAUUGCCAUCAGCUCAAAGGCUCCAGUAACACCAAAGCAUCAGUUAGUUUGCGCUGGAAUUCAGCAGGCAUGCACGCGCGCACAACAAGGUCAGAGGAAUGCGGACGCUGAAGCAGCUCCCACAAGAUGUCUCAACCUCGAAUGAUCUGCAUGUAAGUAUGAAGGCGUUCAGGAUUUGCUGAGCAGAUAACAUAGUUCUUUUCACGAUUCUAAGGUGCCCAUUUCCUAUAAAUUGCUUCAUACAAGCAGUAAUUCUGACUAUGUGUGUCCAUGUGUUUUAAUGUUUUACUCAUCAAUAUGAAUGCAGUAUGCAAAAGCAACAAAAUGUCAACUGAAAACAUGCAAAUAAAAACAGUUGAACAUAGAGCCUAAGUACUUAGAAUUACCAAUUUUGCUGAACUCCUGUUUUUUAAUGUCAACAUUGCUGCUUCCGCAAAGGCUUGUGCAGCUACAGCAUCAGCUUCUGCAGCCUCCGCUUCCCUCACUGCGGCUUCAGCUUCCGCCAUGAUAGCGUCUGCCUCAGCAACCGCACGAGCUGCUGCAGCUGCAGCCUCUUCUGCGCUCAUGUUUCUCAUCCGUGCAAGUUCGGCAUCUACCUGAGAUUUAGUGUGGGCGGUAAAGCCAUCCCUCUCUACCUUCUCUACCUUGGUUGGCUCCUUUUUUAUAUCAUCAAGCAGCAGCAUUUUGGAGCUUCGCCCUUCUAAAAAAGAUGAGCUAGGGGCUAUCCUGUACUUCCGAUUCACCUAAAAUUGUUAAACUUUAGUACCGGGCUGCAUGGCAUAUGGCUUAUACUCUUAAAAAGAGUAACCUAGUCUAUCUAGGUGUGCACAUACAAAUUUUCAAGGCUAAAAUAGAAAGAUUAUCCAGGUUCAUGGUUUUAGGGACCUUACAUUCCAACUAGAAAUAUGUAUAACAUUACAAUUUUCAGGUGGACCAUGGGGAAAAAAUGCGCAUACAAAAGAUAUCACUGCCAAAACGUCAUAUAUUUAGGAACAGAGGGAGUAGUUAGUACGAUUCAAAAUGUUAUACUAUAUUUCAUAAAGAUACUAUUAUACCUUUUGCUGGAUCUCUUUGUUUUGGCAGUUCAAUUUGAACUGCCAAAACGUCUUAUAUUUAGGAACGGAGGGAGUAGAUAAGUACUGUACUACUGUACUAGAUAUGUUACGACACUGAAAGCAAUUGUAAUAGAAUAGAUAAGUAGAUGCCAAUAGCAGGCAAACAAUGUUUGGAACAGAGAGUGCUCGUGCACGUGUUGAUAGGGUGAAUGCAUGCGGGGAGCACAACAUAUCAAGCACAGUCAUCCAUAUAAUGAUAAACCAUACAUAAUAUGUAAACAUACAAUAUGAAAACAUCCUAGUUCAAUUCAAUUGAGCUUCAUCAGACUUAAAUUAUAUGCUACAACCUACAACAAUGGUAAUGUGACUUUGCUACAUUAUAUCAGGGCACCCUUUUUCCCACCUCUUUAUAAUCUACAAUAAUGGAGUUAAGAUAGAAAGAAAUGCUCCUACCUUCAUCAAUUUCCCAGAUGAUGUCAACUCAUUCAGUUUUGCAGACAGUACAUGAUCAAAAUCAGCAGGUGGCCAGUAUUGUUCCUACAUGACAUGAAAAAUUAUGUUAAGAAUGGUGCAAUCUACAUAAGAAGCUAGAUUAUGUAGAACUCUGCCACAAUGGAAUGGAAUUUUGGAGCCACUAGUUAUCAUGAAAUCAUUUCUGCAUGUCUAUGUUGUCCCAGAAUUUUUUGCAUCACUGCCUGAAUAAUUAUCAAAACUAUAUCAAGUGAUCAGCGACGUAAAUGAGUAAUGUUUUAUUAAUGAAGACUACGAAAUUUGGCAUUUGUAAAGGAUCAUAUAUUCGGUUUGUUGUUAGCAUUUCAUUGUGAUCAAGUAGACCAUAAACAGAAGAAGCAUAGAAACCUCUAUGUAAUUAGCAACGGCUGUUUUGUAUGACCCUGUAGGCUCAUUCAAGGUCUUCACGGCCUCCAGUAUGAUAUUUUCUAGCCUGCAGGAACGGCACCAUAGAGGUACAUUAAAGCAGUCAAAAACCUUCCAAGUUUCUGUUCAAGAUACUGGUAGAACAUAGGACAUAAAACAAGCAUUCCAGACCAGUAUAUCGAACAGGGCACCUACCUGGAUAGCGAUUUAUUCCCUGAACCUGUAGUAAACGUCACAAUAGGCUUUAUGAUAGGCUUCACGUCGACGACGUCAUCAUCACCGUCAGAGGUGAUGGUGGUGAUCGCCGUCGAGUGGGUUUCCUGCUUCGGAGCAGACCUCGGCUUCUUAGCCGUGGGCGUCGUCGUCGUCGUCGUCGUCCUCACUUUGUCGCGAGUGCCCGACGCGUUCACGGUGACAUUCAUGUUCCGCCACUUGUCCUGCAAUCACAGUCGGCAAACACGCAUCCACGCAGGCAACAGUCAUCAGAGUCUCCAAUCUAGAGCGAAUAAACCGCGCAGGGUCUGACAGCUGAUGAAACGGACGCAGGAACGAACCUUGAGGUCAACGUUGGAUCGGUAGCGCAGGAUGUUGCUGAACUCGGGGUCCUUGAGUAUGGUGCGCCAUUUCCCGGCCCCGUGCUUGCCUAUCCCGGCCUUGAGCGCCGCCUCCUCCUCCGCCGUCCACUUCUGCUUCGGCGCCCCCAUCUGCUUCGGCCUUGCCCUAGAAGGCUAGGGCUCCCCUUCCUCCUCCUCCUCCUCCUCCUCCUCCUACAACGAAAGCAACAGCGCCUGUCGCCAAACAAAUCGGAGGCGGAUCUAGACCCGGAAUCCCUCUAGGUCAGUUCGGGAUCGAGUAAUCAACCACCGGAUCGACGCCUAGAAAGCUCGUACUCGUACGUACCUGGGAAGCAAAGGCUGCGGACGGGGCGGGGGCGGAGGCGCGGCGAUGUGGGGCGGAGACGUCGACCGCGCGCGGGAGGCGCCGGCGGUGGCUAGGGCACGUUCGGCGGCAGGUCUAGGGCACGGUGGAUUGGAGCUUGAGAUAGGGCAGGGCAGCAGAGGGCAGAGGAGGAUACGGUGGAGAGGAAAAGUCGCCGCGGGGAUGAUGGAUUUUUUUUAUUUUAUUUUUGCUCUGUCGACACCAAAGCUAUCCAAACGGGCCGGGCCAAACAGGCCAGCCCGCGAGCACGCCGGCACGAGGCAUGGCACGGGCUAAACGGGUCAUGCCCGGCACGCCUUGGGUCAUGUCUGGGCUUGGAAGCUGGGCACAGGGCCGGCACGAAACGGACAGUUAUUAUUUUUAUUUGUCUCAAAAAAAUUAAUUUAUUCAAAAUAUUUUAUAUAUGUGUGUUCUAAAAUACACCCAAUAGGCCUAACAAUAGCCCAACGGGCUAAAAAAUAUACAACUUAACGUGCUAAACGUGCCACGGGCCGGCCCGUUUAUUAGCUGGGCCGUGCCUAGGCUGGAGGACACAGCACAUGUGUCGGCACAGCACGGCCCGACUAAUAAUCGUGCCACGGCAGACCGUGCCGUGGCCAGCCCAGUUAGGGUGGGUCCUGUCGGCCCAACGUACUCCCUCUCUAAACCAGUAUUAGUUUACUUUACAGAGGGAGUUGCAAUUAAUUUGAUUUUUGCUAAAUUGCACGCUUUGUCUAUUUAAUUUUUGACGAAAUAUUAUUUUGUAUUGUUAGAAAAUUAGUAAGGAUUUAGGACUAGAAUUUGGGUCUUUUGGUUCAAGUGCUUUUUUUGCAAAAAUAGUUCAAGGGAAUUCAUGAGCAUUUAGAAUAGCUCCCGUACUGGUAAAAAAACUACACUCCAUGAAAGGUUAAGAUAAAAACAACCCUUCAACUGCUCAUGUAAACCUUUUUUUUUCUGGAUUCCAUAGAAUUUCUCCCAACUUCCCUCGUAUUUACGGGAGCAUAGUCCUUCCCGUAUAAUUUGGUAGGCAGGAAACCACGUAAAAAUUCACAGGAGUUGGGCUGGACCAAAAGCGUGAAGCUCGCAAGAUUAAUAAACACUCUCACGAUAGCUCGUUAAACUAAUUAGUACAACACAACACAUUUUUUUAUGUAACAACAUUUUGAAGGAAAUAUGCUCUAAAGGCAAUAAUAAAGUUGUUAUUUUAUAUUUCCUUAUUCAUGAUAAAUGUUUAUUGUUCAUGUUAGAAUUGUAUUAACCGGAAAUUUGAUACUUGUGUGGAUACAUAGACAAAACUACGUAUCCCUAGUAUGCCUCUACUAGACUAGCUCGUUGAUCAAAAAUGGUUAAGUUUCCUAGCCAUGGACAUGAGUUGUCAUUUGAUAACAGGAUCACAUCAUUAGUAGAAUGGUGUGAUGGACAAGACCCAUCCGUUAGCUUAGCAUAAUGAUCGUUCAGUUUUAUUGCUACUGCUUUCUUCGUGUCAAAUAUAUAUUCCUCCGACUAUGAGAUUAUGCAACUCCCGGACACCAGAGGAAUGCCUUAUGUGCUAUCAAACGUCACAAUGUAAUUGGGUGAUUAUAAAGAUGCUCUACAGGUAUCUCCGAAGGUGCUUGUUGGGUUGACAUAGAUUGAGAUUAGGAUAUGUAACACUAAGUAUCGGAGAGGUAUCUCUGGGCCCUCUCGGUAAUGCACAUCAAAUGAAGCCUUGCAAGCAAUGUGACUAAUGAGUUAGUUACGAGAUGAUGCACUACGGAACGAGUAAAGAGACUUGCUGGUAACGAGAUUGAACUAGGUAUGUAGAUACCGACAAUCGAAUCUCGGGCAAGUAACAUACCAAUGACAAAGGGAAUAACUAUAUUGACAUUGCGAUUCGACCGAUAAAGAUCUUCGUGGAAUAUGUGGGAACCAAUAUGAGCAUCCAGUUUUGCUAUUGGUUAUUGACCGGAGAGGUGUCUCGGUCAUGUCUACAUAGUUCUCGAACCCGUGGGGUCUGCACGCUUAACGUUCGAUGACGAUUGAUAUUAUAUGAGUUAUGUGUUUUGGUGACCAAAGGUUGUUCGGAGUCCCGGAUGAGAUCACAGACAUGACGAGGAGUCUCGAAAUGGCCGAGAGGUAAAGAUUGAAAUAUUGGAAGGUUACAUUCGAACACCGGAAUGGUUUCGGGGAGUUUCGGAUGAUUCUCGGAGUACCGGGAGGUUACUGGAACCCCCCGGGGAAUUAAUGGGCCAACAUGGGCCAUAGGGGAGAGGGGAGACAGCCCACAAGAGGUGCCCCCCCCAUGGGAGUCCGAAUUGGACUAGGGGAGGGGGGUGCCCCCCUUUCCCUGUCCUACUCCCUCUCCCUUUCUCCCUUUGCUACUCUGGAAAGGAAAGGGAAUCCUACUCGGACUGGGAGUAGGACUCCCCCCAUGGCGCGCCCCUCUAGGCCGGCCGCCUCCUCCCCUACUCCUUUAUAUACGGGGGCAGGGGGCACCCCAAAGCACAACAAUUAUUCUCUUAGUCGUGUGCGGUGCCCCUGUCCACCAUUUACUCCUCCGAUAGUAUCAUCAUAGUGCUUAGGCGAAGCCCUGCGUGGAUCACAUCACCAACACCGUCAUUACGCCAUCGUGCUUACGGAACUCAUCGGCUCCAUUGACACUCUGCUGGAUCAAGAAUUUGAGUGACGUCAUUGAGCUGAACGCAUGCAGAACUCGAAGGUGUCGUACGUUCGGUACUUGAUCGGUUGACUCGAGAAGACGUUCGACUACAUCAACCGCGUUAAGUUAACGCUUUCACUUUCGGUCUACGAGGGUAUGUGGACAAACUCCCCCCCUCUCAUUGCUAUGCAUCUCCUAGAUAGAUCUUGCAUGAGCGUAGGAAUUUUUUUGAAAUUGCAUGGCUACGUUUCCCAACAGUGGCAUUCGAGCCAGGUCUAUGCGUAGAUGAUAUGCACGAGUAGAACACAAAGAGUUGUGGGCGGUGAUCGUCAUACUGCUUACCACCAAUGUCUUAUUUUGAUUUAGCGGUAUUGUUGGAUGAAGCAGCCCAGACCAACCUUACAUGAUCGUGUUCAUGAGACCGGUUCCACCGACAGACAUGCAACUAGUUUUGCAUAAAGGUGGCUGGCAGGUGUCUAUUUCUCCAACUUUAGUUGACUCAAAUUUGACUGCGGCCGGUCCUUGUGAAGUUUAAAACAGCAAACUUGAUAAAUCACCGUUGUGGUUUUUGUGCCGUAGGUAUGUACGGUUCAUGCUAGCAGCCCGUAGCAGCCACGUAAAACUUGCAACAAACAAAGUAGAGGACAUCUAACUUAUUUUUGCAGGGCAUGUUGUGAUGUGAUAUGGUAAAGACAUGAUGUGAUAUAAAGAUUGUUGUAUGAGAUGAUCAUGUUUUGUAAAAGUUAUCGGCAAUUGGCAGGAUACAUAUGAUUGUCGCUUUAUUGUAUGAAAUACAAGCGCUAUGUAAUUGCUUUACUUUAUCACUAAGCGGGAGCGAUAGUCGUAGAAGCAACGGUUGGCGAGAUGACCACGACGCUACGAUGGAGAUCAAGGUAUCAAGCCAGUGACGAUGGAGAUCAUGACGUUGCUUCGGUGAUGGAGAUCAUGAGCACAAGAUGAUGAUGGCCAUAUCAUGUCACAUAUUUUUGAUUGCAUAUGAUGUUUAUCUUUUAUGCAUCUUAUUUUGCUUAGUACGGCGGUAGCAUUAUAAGAUGAUCCCUCACUAAAUUUCAAGGUAUAAGUGCUCUCCCCAAGUAUGCACCGUUGCGAAAGUUCUUCGUGCUGAGACGCCACGUGAUGAUCAGGUGUGAUAGGCUCUACGUUCAAAUACACUGGGUGCAAGCCAGAUUUGCACACACGGAAUACUCGGGUUAAACUUGACGAGCCUAGCAUAUACAGAUAUGGCCUCGGAACACUUGAGACCGAAAGGUCGAACGUGAAUCAUAUAGUAGAUAUGAUCAGCAUAGUGAUGUUCACCAUUGAAGACCUCUCCAUCUCACGCGAUGAUCGGACAUGGUUUAGUUGAUUUGGAUCACGUAUCAUUUAGAUGACUAGAGGGAUGUCUAUCUAAGUGAGAGUUCUUAAGUAAUAUGAUUAAUUGAACUUAAUUUAUCAUGAACUUAGUCCUGGUAGUUUUUUGCAUAUCUAUGUUGUAGAUCAAUGGCCUGUGCUACCAUUCCUUUGAAUUUUAAUGCGUUCCUAGAGAAAGCUAAGUUGAAAGAUGAUGGCAGCAACUACACGGACUGGGUCCGUAACUUGAGGAUUAUCCUCAUUGCUACACAGAAGAAUUAUGUCCUUGAUGCACUGCUAGGUGUACUACCUGCCCCAGCAACUGCAGACAUUGUGAAUGCCUAGUAGUCACGUGUUGAUGACUACUCGUUAGUUCAGUGUGCCAUGCUUUACGGCUUAGAAUCAGGACUUCAAAGACGUUUUGCACGUCGUGGACCAUAUGUGAUGUUCCAGGAGUUGAAGUUGAUACUUCAAGCAAAUGCCCGAGUUGAGAGAUAUGAAGUCUCCAACAAGUUCUAUAACUGCAAGAUGGAGGAGAACAGUUCUAUUAGUGAGCACAUACUCAGAAUGUCUGGGUACCAUAAUCACUUGACUCAGCUGGGAGUUAAUCUUCCAGAUGAUUGUGUCAUUGACAGUGUUCUUCGAUCACUGCCACCAAGCUACAAAGGCUUUGUGAUGAACUACAAUAUGCAAGGGAUGGAAAAGACUAUUCUCGAGCUCUUCGCGAUGCUAAAGGCCGCGGAGGUAGAAAUCAAGAAGGAGCAUCAAGUGUUGAUGGUUAACAAGACCACUAGUUCCAAGAAAAACGGCAAGGGUAAAAAGAAAGGGAACUUCAAAAAGACUGACAAGCAAGUUGUCACUCCCGAGAAGAAACCUAAGAAUGGACCCAAGCCUGAGACUAAGCGCUUAUACUGCAAAGGGACUGGUCACUGGAAGCGGAACUGCCCUAAGUAUUUGGCAGAUAAGAAGGAUGGCAAAGUGAACCCCCGGGCCAAAGCAAAAACGACGGCGUAAGCGCCGCCUUAGGUCCAGUCACAGUAAAAAUAGCGAUAACAACCCAAAACAGGAUGACACUUCGGUUGAUUCCGAAGGCAACAACGACCAUAGGGACCCAGCAAUGGAGCAAGACAAACCAGGUCAUGCCGAACACAACCCAAAGCAAACGCCCAAUCACAUAAAUUCAAAGGGCCGAACUCAUCCGGCUACCUCCAAAGAAGAGAACAGUCCAGUCGACAAUGCGUUCAUCAUCCCGGAAGAACAUUCGGAACAAGAUAACCUCCGCAGAAAACUCCUGGCCACAGCACGGAGCCUGAAGAAGCAGAAGCAAAGGCUUAAGGCCGCGCAGGACACGCUCAACCGAAGAUGAAAUAAGGUGCUGGACACCGAAGGGAAACGUGGCUAUAAUCGCCACACAAAGAGCUACCCAAAGCGCAAACUGCUACCCGAAUUUGACGAUGAAGCCGCAGCACCCGUUCGGCCCAAAAACAAUACGGCUACUCAACCGGACCAACCACCUCAUGGCCGCGAUAGAGCAGCCACCGAUACCGCACGCGAUUUACGAGAGCUCCUGGACAAAAAGGCCAGUGCGGCCAGAUCCAUCUAUGGGUCCAGAGGACAUGCUCCGACGCGGGAUGAUGGCCACCACAACGAUCAUACUGACCAAAUACCAAUCCGGAAUCAACACCGGGAGCAACAGUAGCCGGCAGCAUGCCGCAACACGGCCAGAUACAGAGGGGCCGCACACCCCUGUGCUUCACGGACGAGGUGCUAGACCAUGAAUUUCCACAGGGAUUCAAGCCCGUGAAUAUAGAGUCAUACGACGGAACGACGGACCCUGGGGUCUGGAUUGAGGAUUUUAUCCUUCACAUACACAUGGCUCGUGGGGAUGACCUCCAUGCCAUCAAAUACCUCCCCCUCAAGUUAAAAGGACCAGCUCGUCAUUGACUCAAAAGCCUCCCCGAAAACUCAAUUGGAAGUUGGGAGGAACUUGAGGAUGCUUUUAGGGCCAACUUUCAAGGGACUUAUGUCCGGCCUCCAGAUGCUGACGACUUAAGUCACAUAAUACAGCAGUCCAGAGAGUCCGCCCGCAAACUUUGGAACAAAUUCCUCACUAAGAAGAAUCGAAAUGUCGACUGUCCGGAUGCCGAAGCCUUAGCAGCCUUCAAACACAGUAUCCGAGACAAGUGGCUUGCCAGACACCUCGGCCAAGAAAAGCCGAGAACGAUGGCAGCCUUAACAAGCCUCAUGACCCGAUUUUGUGUGGGCGAGGAUAGCUGGUUGGCCCGUAGAGGCACCAGCGACCCGGGUACAUACGAAAUCCGAGAUGGCAACGGGAAGCCACGGCACACUAAGCACAAACGUCGGAAUAAUGAUAGUCCGGACAACACAACGGUCAACGCCAGAUUCAGGGGCUCUCGACCUGGUCAAGGAAAGAAGCCAUUUAAAGGCAGUAGAGAGGAACCAUCCGGCGUGAACAAAGUCCUGGACAGAUUGUGCCAAAUCCAUGGUACUUCCGACAAACCUGCAAAUCAUACCCACAGAGAAUGUUGGGUUUUCAAGCAGGUUGGCAAGUUAAACGCCAAACACAAGGAAAGGGGAACACCAAGAGAAGAUGAGGAUGAGCCUCGCCAGCCGAACACAAGGGGCCAAAAACAAUUCCCACCGGAAGUCAAAACGGUAAACAUGGUACACGCAACUCACGCAGAGUUCGUAGCCCCCCAAUUCAACCCCUGGGCAACUUGCCCGAUCACUUUUGAUCACAGGGACUACCCGACCAGUACCCAACACGGAGGAUCGGCUGCCUUGGUGCUCGACCCAAUAAUUGAUGGAUACCAUCUUACUCGCGUCCUAAUGGACGGCGGCAGUAGUCUUAAUCUGAUAUAUCAAGACACCAUCCGCAAGAUGGGGGUAGACCCAUCCAGAAUAAGUCAAAAUAACGCCACCUUCAAUGGAGUGAUUCCAGGCGUAGUAGCCCACUGCUGGGGCUCCCUCGUAUAAGAAGUGACAUUCGGUUCUCCCGACAACUUCAGAAGCGAGAACCUACUCUUCAACAUCGCCCCCUUCAGCAGCGAUUAUCAUGCAUUGCUUGGAAGAACGGCCUUCGCUUGCUUGAACGCAAUACCGAACUAUGCCUGCCUUAAACUCAAGAUGCCCGGUCCACGCGGCGUCAUCACGGUUAGCAGAAACACAGAGCAGUAUGCGGCACUUCCUGCUGCUGGACUCUAGGCGGCCUCUCCAAAUAGAACACAUGACCGGUCGUCAAGACCACGAACACGGUUAGACGAGUCCAAUACACCAUUUUUCACAAUGGCUCGGAUAAACCUGAGCCAGGGGUUGUACAUGUGUCCCCAUAAAUGAUACAAGGGGCUGCAAACAUGUAACAAAAGCCCACAUUUCGGCUUGCCUCAUUAAUAGGCCGGAUCUUGAACAUUUCUCGAGCAUAACUAACUUUUCACACGUUUUCUUUUUUCUUUUCUACAGACACUACCAGUGCGACACCCUUCCAGGAUAUGGCACGACGGAGACAUAGGCGCAGACGUGCAGCAGGGCCCCGCCCACAGGUUUCUCUUUAGAUUAAGCCCAUGCGUAAACCUUCUUUACUGUCUCUUGUUGCUCGACGUCCCAUGGGUAUUUCACAAACCCAUAAGGGAUACUGGCAUUAUAGGCUUUUGGCCAUGAUAGAUCAAUGCACGUACCUGGAAUCACAGGGUCAAGGGCGUCAUUCAGCCCAAUAUAUGUUACAAAGUCCAAAUACCUU